rnacentral:tRNA from 1 species
AGGGCUAUAGCUCAGUUAGGUAGAGCACCUCGUUUUUUUCUCGAGAAAGUCUACGGUUCAAGUCCGUAUAGCCCUACC